UGGCUCGUGGUCCGGCUUGGUGCGAAAUGGAGAAAACAAAGACAGACCAAGUUCAACCCUCUCUAUUUUUUCCAUUUACUGCAAAACGAAAAUCUUAUGUAGCAACUAAUCUGUUCCAUUUGCGAGUUCUGCGGUAUUUUUCUCCAUAAUUUCCAAAAUCUGCAUGCGAUGUUUGCGCUUGAACGAGAACUUCUUUGGACAGACUUCUAAGAAGAUAGGCUAGGAUUUGAUGGUCAUGGAUGAGCCAUGCUGACUAGACAGAGUUUGGAACAUUCCUUCCCUUCGACGUCUUGGUGGUGAUUGUGUGGGUGGUUUCUGGGAUGGAUUGAUCUAGAUAGCCAUAGAGGCCAGCACCCAUGAUCUAGGACUUGGCAUGAGCACGCCACGAAACGAAAUUGGUUCUGAAAAGUGGUUGUUCGUUUAACACAUGGACCACAUGCUGGAGUGAAAAUUUCUCCUAACAACUCCAAUCUGACACAUUAUAUGCAGCUGUGAUAUUCUGUUUAACACAUGGACCACAUGCAGAGGUGCCACGAUCGAGGAGAAGGGCCUCAUGUAAGCAUGGUUAUACACACACCUAGAUGAUCCACUCGCACUCUUUCCCUCUCUGGGGUUUGUGCUCCUUGCCUUGCCGAUUAAGAAAUAUCUUGGUCAUGCAGAGCCAGGGAGAGAGAGAGAGAGAGAGAACUCGUCCGCCAUCUGAAAAAUCCACGGAAAAAUCUUUGAGAUAGGGCAGGAAUAUCUUGGAACUAAUCUUCCCCUACUUCAUGUCAAAUCUUUUGUGUUCUAUUUGUUCCUCCCUUCAUAAUUAUUCGUUCUUCUGUUUAUGAUUAUGUUUCUCUACCAAAGCAGUCUUCAGAUUAUGUGUGUGAUUGACUAACAAUUUUGGUUGCAGUGUGUUCAUGACCCUAUGUUGUUUCUGCUGCUACGAGACAUGCGAGUGCUGCCUCGACUGCCUCUGCUCGUGCUGCAACUAAACCAGCCAUGGACGACAUGGACGGAUGGACGGUGGUGUUGAAUAUAUGAGCGAAUUACUACGAGAUUGGAUCUGAAUAAACAGUAAUUAAAUCAUGACGACAAUAACGGAUAUUUACAUAAUCAUGCAUACUAGCAUAAUAGACGAAUAGAUUAAAUCUACGACAGAAACUAGACAUAAGAAUUCUACCAUGAUCUCAAACACAUCGCGAGCGUUGGUGUUGUCGGCCAUGUCGUUGAGCGUAGGCAUGAGCUCAUCUCGGCUCAAUCCCGCAAUCCGAGGCGAGCAAGGAGGAGGAGUGAGCGAGGGUAUCUUCUCCUCCCAUGCUCGUACAAGUGCUAGAAAAGCUCAUCUUAUAAAGAUGUGUAGCUCUCUCACAACUGGCGACAUGAGACUAAACUUUGGUUCCACGCGCAUCAUACGUAGGAGAAUGGGCCAAAAGGA
rnacentral:lncRNA from 1 species